CCACUUCUCCGACGGUGACAGUUUUAACAGGACGGUACACUCUGCUGGCAAAGCCUUGGGAACACAGGUGUCCCUGGCGCUGCAUCGGGGGUGCACACCAUGGAAAGUGCCAUCCUCACGACACACCUUCUGACCUUGUGAGCCUAGGGAGACAGCUGGGAAACUGCACCGUGGAAGACUAGGCCGUUACGGAAACAGAGAGGCUCUUCCUGUCCUGCUGGUAGAGACUGUCUUCAACAAGUGUGCAUGGACCAUAACCCUGCUGGGGCAAAGGAUCUCCCAGGGAAGAAGGCAAAGACUCUGUCCCCAGAGAGCAGGGGAAGGUCAUUGCCCUCGGUAAGAGAAAAGGAGCCUCCGCAGGGCAGGGAGGGCUUGAGGGUGAGAUAAGUCUGAACCCAGGCUCACGAGGGAAAGUGGGGCCUGCCCCAUGAACCUGUGCUCCACACCCCAUGCUCUCCAGCCUCCCUCUACCAGGGAGGCUCUGGAGCUCACAGAGGGCCUCAUCAUCCCACAGAACAUGUCUGGCCUUCAGCAGGAGCCCCA